GACGAACGCUGGCGGCGUGCUUAACACAUGCAAGUCGAACGGGAUUUAGUAGACAGAAGCCUCGGCUAAAGAUUACUAAUGAGAGUGGCGAACGGGUGAGUAACGCGUGAGCAACCUGCCUAUGACAGUGGGAUAGCCUCGGGAAACCGGGAUUAAUACCGCAUAAAAUCGUAGAAACACAUGUUUUAACGGUCAAAGAUUUAUCGGUCAUAGAUGGGCUCGCGUCUGAUUAGCUAGUUGGUGAGAUAACAGCCCACCAAGGCGACGAUCAGUAGCCGGUCUGAGAGGAUGAACGGCCACAUUGGAACUGAGACACGGUCCAAACUCCCACGGGAGGCAGCAGUGGGGAAUAUUGCACAAUGGGGGAAACCCUGAUGCAGCGACGCCGCGUGAACGAAGAAGGUAUUCGUAUCGUAAAGUUCUGUCCUAUGGGAAGAUAAUGACAGUACCAUAGAAGAAAGCUCCGGCUAAAUACGUG
rnacentral:rRNA from 1 species